rnacentral:lncRNA from 1 species
CCUAAGUAUUCUGUCUCUAUCCUUGUAAUUGUCAUGCCUCUAUUUCCUUCCCACAGGUGCCCUUUACAGAUGUCUGUAUAGCUCGGCACUAUCUGGGCCCUGGGAGGACAGUGUGAGCCCCACCCAGGUAUACCUAAAAUGUGUGGUCCUAGGACUGGAAUGCCCCCAGCUGGAGGAAAGAGGGGGGUUGUCUGUGGGAAAGACCAGGAAGAAGAAACC